GACGAACGCUGGCGGCGUGCUUAACACAUGCAAGUCGAACGGAAAGGCCCUGCUGUUGUGGGGUGCUCGAGUGGCGAACGGGUGAGUAACACGUGAGUAACCUGCCCUUGACUUUGGGAUAACUUCAGGAAACUGGGGCUAAUACCGGAUAGGAGCUCCUGCUGCUUGGUGGGGGUUGGAAAGUUUCGGCGGUUGGGGAUGGACUCGCGGCUUAUGAGCUUGUUGGUGGGGUAGUGGCUUACCAAGGCUUUGACGGGUAGCCGGCCUGAGAGGGUGACCGGCCACAUUGGGACUGAGAUACGGCCCAGACUCCUACGGGAGGCAGCAGUGGGGAACAUUGCACAAUGGGCGGAGGCCUGAUGCAGCAACGCCGCGUGCGGGAUGACGGCCGUCGGGGUGUAAACCGCUUUCGCGUGUGACGAAGCGUGAGUGACGGUAAUGGGUAAAGAAGCAACGGCUAACUACGUG
rnacentral:rRNA from 1 species